rnacentral:rRNA from 1 species
AUGGCCUCCGCCCCUGCCCUGUAUCACACCCUGCUUCACUUUCUCAACCCGAUCCAUUCUCACCACCUAUCCUCUCCCCCCACACGCCACCGCCACCGCUGCCUCGCCCUCUCCUCCGCCGCCGCGCGCCUCCCCAACCCCAACGCCGCCGCCCCCUCUCGUUUCGGCCCGGUGAGGACAGCCAGCGCGAGCCAACUAGCGUUCGAGACAGAGGAUGGGGAGGAGACGCCUCUAGCGUUCGAUACAGAGGAGGAAGAGGAGGCGCCUCGUUGGCCCGCUACGCAGGCGCAGUCUGACGACGAGGAUGACGAGCAGGAGUGGGCCGGGGGCAAUGGCACGGCGGCGCACGGGGAGGAGGAGCAUUAUGGCGGAGAUCCGGCGGCCGAGGAUGGGAGCGGGUGGACGCGGCGGCAGCCGCGGCCGCGCGAGCUGUUCGUGUGCAACCUGCCCCGCAGGUGCGGCGUCGACGAACUGCUCGAGCUCUUCGGGCCAUACGGCACCGUCCUCUCCGUCGAGGUUUCUCGUGAUGCCGAGACCGGGAUUAGUCGAGGAUGUGGCUUUGUUAUGAUGCGUUCUCUUGCAGAAGCUAGAACAGCUAUCAAUGCUCUCGAUGGAUUUGACCUGGAUGGGCGUGAGAUGUUUGUAAAACUAGCGGCUCAUGUCGUUGCUAGUAGGAGAAAUCCCAGCCUGUCCCAUACACCACCCAUGAAGGACCAUAUCUUUGAAAGUCGAUACAAGAUCUAUGUUGGCAACCUUGCAUGGUCUGUUCAACCUCAACACUUGAGGGAGCACUUUACUCAGUGUGGAACUGUUGUUAGUACAAGGCUGCUGACAGAUCGCAAAGGAGGGAGAAGUCGUGUCUAUGGAUUCCUUUCGUUUUCUUCAGCCGAAGAGCUUGAGGCUGCUCUGCAGCUUAACAAUACGGAAUUUCAUGGACGGGAUAUCAUCGUCAGAGAAGCUCAUGUAAAAUCGCCAGAUACACUAAGCCAAACCCUUGAGAGUUAG